rnacentral:rRNA from 1 species
GAGCUCGUAGGCGGUUUGUCGCGUCUGCUGUGAAAGACCGGGGCUCAACUCCGGUUCUGCAGUGGGUACGGGCAGACUAGAGUGCAGUAGGGGAGACUGGAAUUCCUGGUGUAGCGGUGAAAUGCGCAGAUAUCAGGAGGAACACCGAUGGCGAAGGCAGGUCUCUGGGCUGUAACUGACGCUGAGGAGCGAAAGCAUGGGGAGCGAACAGGAUUAGAUACCCUGGUAGUCCAUGCCGUAAACGUUGGGCACUAGGUGUGGGGGACAUUCCACGUUUUCCGCGCCGUAGCUAACGCAUUAAGUGCCCCGCCUGGGGAGUACGGCCGCAAGGCUAAAACUCAAAGGAAUUGACGGGGGCCCGCACAAGCGGCGGAGCAUGCGGAUUAAUUCGAUGCAACGCGAAGAACCUUACCAAGGCUUGACAUGAACCGGAAAGACCUGGAAACAGGUGCCCCGCUUGCGGUCGGUUUACAGGUGGUGCAUGGUUGUCGUCAGCUCGUGUCGUGAGAUGUUGGGUUAAGUCCCGCAACGAGCGCAACCCUCGUUCUAUGUUGCCAGCGCGUGAUGGCGGGGACUCAUAGGAGACUGCCGGGGUCAACUCGGAGGAAGGUGGGGACGACGUCAAAUCAUCAUGCCCCUUAUGUCUUGGGCUUCACGCAUGCUACAAUGGCCGGUACAAAGGGUUGCGAUACUGUGAGGUGGAGCUAAUCCCAAAAAGCCGGUCUCAGUUCGGAUUGGGGUCUGCAACUCGACCCCAUGAAGUCGGAGUCGCUAGUAAUCGCAGAUCAGCAACGCUGCGGUGAAUACGUUCCCGGGCCUUGUACACACCGCCCGUCAAGUCACGAAAGUUGGUAACACCCGAAGCCGGUGGCCUAACCCUUGUGGGGGGAGCCGUCGAAGGUGGGACCGGCGAUUGGGACGAAGUCGUA